rnacentral:lncRNA from 1 species
UGAAACUCCAAUCCUUUGGCCACCUGAUGUGAAGAACCAACUCACUGGAAUAGACCCUGAUGCUGGGAAAGACUUAGGCAGGAGAAGAAGGGGACAAUAGAGGAUGAGAUGGUUGGCUGUCAUCACCAAUGUGAUGGACAUGAGUUUGAAUAGGCUCUGGGAGUUGAUGAUGGACAUGGAAGCCUAGCGUGCUGCAGUCCAUGGGGUCACAAAGAGUCGGACAUUACUGAGUGUCUGAACUGAACUGAACUGAUACAAUAUAUGCUGGAUGUUGUGGUGGGAGCUGAGGGUUCUAGGAGUCAGUAUAACAUGGCCCCAGUCAUCAACGAGGUCUGGGUCUUCCAAGGUGCUCAGCUAUACAAUGGACUCUGUAGUUGUUCUACGUACCUGAUGUUAUCAAAGUCAAAGUAACUUGCUGAAUAAUAUGACAUAUCUGAAUAUGUAUGAAUUUACUACCUUGCUAUAGGAAAUGUGCAUAAUCUUCUUGGCUAAUAUCAGUUGAAUGCCUUCUCUGUGGCAGGUUCUGAAAUAAGGUAUUUUCUGGCAGAAUCAGCCCACUAGAGUUGGUAACUUUAUUUCUUCUGUUUUAAUAAGAAGUUAAGUAUCUUUUCCUAGAUCACCCAGCUAGAAAGUGGUUACAAAUACAGGGAGCUUGUUGUCAAAGCUUUGUGUUGAACCACUACCCUUUCUCUCUUUCUAAUGCAUAUGCAUAUAUGUAUGCAUACAUUCAUCUAUCUGAUGUCUUGACAUACGGAGAUAAGAGCACACAAUUUAGAGACAGGUGGAUUCGUGUCUCAUUUAGAUUCUGCCAGGCUUGACUGACUUCAAGAAAAUCAUGUAAUGUCUCUAACUCUGGAUUACUUCAUCUAUAAAACUGGGGCAAAACAUCUAACAGGUUAAAAUGAGAUGCCACUUAAAAAAAGUGGUUUGUAAAAGACAUACCACUAGAAAUAGUAUUUUGUCUGAUCAUAGUUAUUACAGUCUUAAUUCUAGCACUCCCUCUAGAUUCCCUUUAACUUCAUUCUUAUCAUAUAACUCAAACUGAGCAACUUCUUACCAUCUCCUUUGCUUCUCUAGUUGCUCUUUUAUCUCUCAAAGAAAGCAGAAAUGGUCUCCAAACUGGCCUUCCUAUGCCUCUCUUGCCCCAUUUGCUUUGCAUUAUAAAUCAGGUCAUGUCUAGCUUCCUACUGCUCUAAGAGAAAAUUUUACAUUCCAUACUGUCACCUAGAAAUCCUCUGUUAUUAUCUGGCCUGGUUCUUACACUCUUAUCUUCCAGGUUCUCACAUCUCAGGCCUUACCACUCUCCCCUGCUCACUGUACUCAAUCACACAGACUGAAGUUUUUUAACAGGUCAAAUUUAUACCUUGCAAGCCUAAAAGAUGAUGCUACUAAAGAGCUGCACUCAAUAUGCCAGCAAAUUUGAAAAACUCAGCAGUGGCCACGGG